rnacentral:rRNA from 1 species
GACGAACGCUGGCGGCGUGCUUAACACAUGCAAGUCGAACGGAAAGGCCCUGCGUUUGUGGGGUGCUCGAGUGGCGAACGGGUGAGUAACACGUGAGUAACCUGCCCUUGACUUUGGGAUAACUUCAGGAAACUGGGGCUAAUACCGGAUAGGAGCUCCUGCUGCAUGGUGGGGGUUGGAAAGUUUCGGCGGUUUGGGAUGGACUCGAGGCUUAUCAGCUUGUUGGUGGGGUAGGGGCUGACCAAGGCUUUGACGGGUAGCCGGCCUGGGAGGGUGACCGGCCACAUUGGGACUGAGAGACGGCCCAGACUCCUACGGGCGGCAGCAGUGGGGAAUAUUGCGCAGUGGGCGGAAGCCUGAUGCAGCAACGCCGCGUGCGGGAUGACGGCCUUCGGGUUGUAAACCGCUUUCGCCUGUGACGAAGCGUGAGUGACGGUAAUGGGUAAAGAAGCACCGGCUAACUACGUG